AUUGAACGCUGGCGGCAGGCUUAACACAUGCAAGUCGAACGGUAACAUAAAGAAGCUUGCUUCUUUGAUGACGAGUGGCGGACGGGUGAGUAAUGCUUGGGAAUCUAGCUUAUGGAGGGGGAUAACUACGGGAAACUGUAGCUAAUACCGCGUAAUAUCGAAAAGAUUAAAGUGUGGGACCUUCGGGCCACAUGCCAUAGGAUGAGCCCAAGUGGGAUUAGGUAGUUGGUGAGGUAAAGGCUCACCAAGCCGACGAUCUCUAGCUGGUCUGAGAGGAUGACCAGCCACACUGGGACUGAGACACGGCCCAGACUCCUACGGGAGGCAGCAGUGGGGAAUAUUGCGCAAUGGGGGCAACCCUGACGCAGCCAUGCCGCGUGAAUGAAGAAGGCCUUCGGGUUGUAAAGUUCUUUCGGUAGCGAGGAAGGCAUUUAGUUUAAUAGACUAGGUGAUUGACGUUAACUACAGAAGAAGCACCGGCUAACUCCGUG
rnacentral:rRNA from 1 species